GUCUUUUUGUAUUUGAAUAUAAAGUCUAAUCUGCCCCCUGACUAUUGUUAAAUGGCCGCAGUAUUCUAACUGUGCAAAGGUAGCAUAAUCAUUAGUCUUUUAAUUGGAGGCUUGUAUGAAUGAUUGAACGAAGCAUAAACUGUCUCAUUAAAAAUUUAAUUGAAUUUUAUUUUUUAGUUAAAAAGCUAAAAUAAUUUUAAAAGACGAGAAGACCCUAUAGAUCUUUAUAAUUUAUUUUAUUUUAUUUUUUAAGUUAUUUUUGAAUAUUAUAUAUUUAAUUAUUUUAUUGGGGUGAUAUUGAAAUUUAUAUAACUUUCAAUUAUUAAUAACACUAAUUUGUGAUUGAUUGAUCCUUUAUUAUAGAUUAAAAAUUUAAGUUACCUUAGGGAUAACAGCGUAAUUAUUUUGGAGAGUUCUUAUCGAUAAAAUAGUUUGCGACCUCGAUGUUGGAUUAAGAUUAAUUCUAGGUGCAGCCAUUUAGUAUAUUAAGUCUGUUCGACUUUUAAUUUCUU
rnacentral:rRNA from 1 species